rnacentral:piRNA from 1 species
GUUUGCUCCAGGGUAUGUAGACUUCCCAGC